UACGGGGGGGGGCAAGCGUUGUUCGGAAUUACUGGGCGUAAAGGGCUCGUAGGCGGCCAACUAAGUCAGACGUGAAAUCCCUCGGCUUAACCGGGGAACUGCGUCUGAUACUGGAUGGCUUGAGAUUGGGAGAGGGAUGCGGAAUUCCAGGUGUAGCGGUGAAAUGCGUAGAUAUCAGGAGGAACACCGAUGGCGAAGGCAGCUCGCUGGGACGGUACUGACGCUGAGGCGCGAAAGCGUGGGGAGCGAACAGG
rnacentral:rRNA from 1 species